rnacentral:rRNA from 1 species
GAUGAACGCUAGCGGCAGGCUUAACACAUGCAAGUCGAGGGGUAUAGGUAGCUUGCUACCUAGAGACCGGCAAACGGGUGCGGAACACGUACGCAAUCUGCCCUUAUCUUGGAGAUAGCCCAUAGAAAUGUGGAUUAAUACCUAAUAGUAUAUUUGAGUGGCAUCACUUAGAUAUUAAAGAAUUUCGGAUAGGGAUGAGC